UACGGAGGGUGCAAGCGUUAUCCGGAUUCACUGGGUUUAAAGGGUGCGUAGGAGGGCAGGUAAGUCAGUGGUGAAAUCCCCGAGCUUAACUUGGGAACUGCUGUUGAUACUAUCUGUCUUGAAUACCGUGGAGGUGAGCGGAAUAUGUCAUGUAGCGGUGAAAUGCUUAGAUAUGACAUAGAACACCAAUUGCGAAGGCAGCUCGCUACACGAAUAUUGACUCUGAGGCACGAAAGCGUGGGGAUCAAACAGG
rnacentral:rRNA from 1 species